rnacentral:rRNA from 1 species
AUGGCAACUUUGGAUCAUGGAAUCUUUGUUUGCACGGCAGUCACACUAUGGGCCAUCUGGACGGCACGACGAAAAUAUAUACAUGAGGGAAUUACACAAAGUCCGCAAGCCACUUCUCUCUUUGUGAGCAGAUUUAUCAGAGAUCUAGAACUGAUCAAUACAAAGCCUCAGCAUACUUUGCAGGCAGCCCCUUGGGUAAAUGUGGCAGCACAUGCAAGGCCAAAAGCGCCACCAGCGGGUUACGUUAAGAUCCAUGUAGAUGGUGCAGUCUUGCGUAACCGGCGAGGCUCCGCGGCGGCAGUAUGCCGAGACCAGGCGGGCAACUACAUGGGAACUUCUGCACUCGUCUUGCCAGGGGUAACUGACCCGCACACUUUGGAAGCAAUCGCUUGCCGAGAAGGUCAUGCUCUGGCAGAGGAUCUCGUCUUGGGGAACCUAAUCAUCGCAUCUGAUUGCAAGCAGGUUGUUCAUGACAUCAAGCUAGGCAACUAGGGAAUUUAUGGUUCAGUGAUAGCAGAAAUUAAUCUUCAUUCUUUGGAUUUUACCUGUAGUUUCGUUUUUGAAAGCCGUUCUUCAAACGGUGAAGCUCAUAGUUUAGCUAAGCAUGCACUUUCUCUCGGUGCGGGGCGCCACACUUGGCUGGUUGACCCUCAUAAUCCGAUUUGUAUCCUACUUCACGUGGAUUAUGAUCAAUAA